rnacentral:rRNA from 1 species
AGUGAAGCGGCACAGCUCAAAUUUGAAAUCUGGCUUCGGCCCGAGUUGUAAUUUGUAGAGGAUGCUUUUGGUGAGGUGCCUUCUGAGUUCCCUGGAACGGGACGCCAGAGAGGGUGAGAGCCCCGUAUAGUCGGCCACCGAUCCUUUGUAAAGCUCCUUCGACGAGUCGAGUAGUUUGGGAAUGCUGCUCUAAAUGGGAGGUAUAUCUCUUCUAAAGCUAAAUAUUGGCCAGAGACCGAUAGCGCACAAGUAGAGUGAUCGAAAGAUGAAAAGCACUUUGAAAAGAGGGUUAAAUAGCACGUGAAAUUGUUGAAAGGGAAGCGCUUGUGACCAGACUUGUGCCGGGCUGAUCAUCCAGUGUUCUCACUGGUGCACUCGACCCGGCUCAGGCCAGCGUCGGUUCUCGUAGGGGGAUAAAAGCUUCGGGAACGUGGCACCUUCGGGUGUGUUAUAGCCCGUUGCUUAAUACCCUUGUGGGGACCGAGGUUCGCGCUCUGCAAGGACGCUGGCAUAAUGGUCAUCAGCGACCCGUCUUGAA